UUUCUGUGAUGAUUUUUUGACACAUGCGCGUCAUCUGAGUCACAGCAAAGUUUACUUUUGCCCUUGUGUUUUACAGUGGCAAUUUGUAAACUUUGCACCGGCAUAAAAGAUUAUAAAGUGUCUCUGAAA